rnacentral:pre_miRNA from 1 species
UAUGGCUUUUUAUUCCUAUGUGAUUGCUUCUGUAACCUCGCGUAGGGGUGAAAGCCAUGGA